UACAGAGGGUGCAAGCGUUGUUCGGAAUUACUGGGCGUAAAGAGUGUGUAGGCGGUGUUCUAAGUCUGUUGUGAAAUCUCCCGGCUUAACUGGGAGGGUGCGGCGGAAACUGGAAUGCUAGAGGAUGGGAGAGGUAAGCGGAAUUCCUGGUGUAGCGGUGAAAUGCGUAGAUAUCAGGAGGAACACCUGUGGUGUAGACAGCUUACUGGACCACGACUGACGCUGAGACACGAAAGCGUGGGUAGCAAACAGG
rnacentral:rRNA from 1 species